GAUGAAGAACGUAGCGAAAUGCGAUAAGUAAUGCGAAUUGCAGAAUUCCAGUGAGUCAUCGAAUCUUUGAACGCACAUUGCGCCCUUUGGUAUUCCGAAGGGCAUGCCUGUUCGAGCGUCAUUAUCACCCCUCAAGCCCUCGGCUUGGUGUUGGACGGUUUGGUGGAGGCCCCCUCGGGGGCUCCUGCCCCGCCCAAAGACAAUGACGGCGGCCUCGUUGGACCCCCGGUACACUGAGUUCUUCACGGGACACGUAUCGGACACAUGGGUUUACGGGACACGGUCUGCCUCCCCUCAGGGAGAAUCUUUCUAAGGUUGACCUCGGAUCAGGUAGGGAUACCCGCUGAACUUAAGCAUAUCAAUAAGCGGAGGA
rnacentral:misc_RNA from 1 species